AACGAACGCUGGCGGCAGGCUUAACACAUGCAAGUCGAGCGCCCCGCAAGGGGAGCGGCAGACGGGUGAGUAACGCGUGGGAACGUACCUUUUGGUUCGGAACAACUCCGGGAAACUGGAGCUAAUACCGGAUAAGCCCUAACGGGGAAAGAUUUAUCGCCGAAAGAUCGGCCCGCGUCUGAUUAGCUAGUUGGUGAGGUAACGGCUCACCAAGGCGACGAUCAGUAGCUGGUCUGAGAGGAUGAUCAGCCACACUGGGACUGAGACACGGCCCAGACUCUGAGGGGAGGAGGGAGGGGGGAAUAUGGAACAGGGGGCGAAGGCCUGACCCACCCGUGCCGGGGGAGGAAGGAGGGCUUUGGGUUUGAAAACCUCUUUGGCCGGGGAAGAUAAUGCCUUAACGGAAAGAAAAACCCCCGCUAACUUCCGU
rnacentral:rRNA from 1 species